AAUAUUGGUCAAUGGGGGAAACCCUGAACCAGCGACGCCGCGUGAGUGAAGAAGUAUUUCGGUAUGUAAAGCUCUAUCAGCAGGGACGAUGAUGACGGUACCUGACUAAGAAGCCCCGGCUAACUACGUGCCAGCAGCCGCGGUAAUACGUAGGGGGCAAGAGUUAUCCGGAUUUACUGGGUGUAAAGGGAGUGUAGGUGGUCAUGCAAGUCCGAAGUGAAAUCCCGGGGCUUAACCCCGUGACUGCUUUGGAAACUGUGUGACUGGAGUGCAGGAGAGGUAAGUGGAAUUCCUAGUGUAGCGGUGAAAUGCGUAGAUAUUAGGAAGAACACCGGUGGCGAAGGCGGCUUACUGGACUGUAACUGACACUGAGGCUCGAAAGCGUGGGGAGCAAAC
rnacentral:rRNA from 1 species